rnacentral:rRNA from 1 species
CUUAGAGUUUGAUCAUGGCUCAGAACUAACGCUGGCGGCGUGCCUAACACAUGCAAGUCGUACGAGAAAGUUGGCUUCGGCCGAUGAGUAAAGUGGCGCACGGGUGAGUAACGCGUGGAUAAUCUACCCCUCAGUUGGGAAUAACUCAUCGAAAGGUGGGCUAAUACCGGAUAGUACUGCAUGACUUCUGUUGUGUAGUCAAAGAUGGCCUCUGCUUGCAAGCUAUCGCUGAAGGAUGAGUCCGCGUACCAUUAGCUAGUUGGUAGGGUAAUGGCCUACCAAGGCGACGAUGGUUAGCUGGUCUGAGAGGAUGAGCAGGCACGCUG